CAAUAGCGUAUAUUUAAGUUGUUGCAGUUAAAAAGCUCGUAGUCGGAUUUUGGCUGAGAACGAACGGUCCGCCGUUAGGUGUGCACUGUUUGGUCUCAGCUUCCUGGUGAGGAGGUGUGCUUCACGGCCACUUAGUCACCGUGGUUACUUUGAAAAAAUUAGAGUGUUCAAAGCGGGCUUACGCUUGAAUAUAUUAGCAUGGAAUAACACCAUAGGACUCCCGUCCUAUUUCGUUGGUCUCGGGACGGGAGUAAUGAUUAAGAGGAACAGUUGGGGGCAUUCGUAUUUCAUUGUCAGAGGUGAAAUUCUUGGAUUUAUGAAAGACGAACUUCUGCGAAAGCAUUUGCCAAGGAUGUUUUCAUUGA
rnacentral:rRNA from 1 species